AUUACAUACAUUGCCUAUGGUGACUGUUAAGUUGAAAAGGGAAGAUUGGUGAAAAGCCAACGCGGUCCCGCCACUGUAAUGAGGAGAGCCAUCCAGAACCACUAUUUCUAUCAUGGAAAUGGGAAGGAGGAUGGUUUAAUGAUUCUAAGCCAGGAGACCUGCCAUAUGGAAGAACAUUUA
rnacentral:ncRNA from 2 species